rnacentral:rRNA from 1 species
UACGUAGGGGGCUAGCGUUGUCCGGAUUUAUUGGGCGUAAAGAGCGUGUAGGCGGCCAGGUAGGUCUGGUGUGAAAACUCGAGGCUUAACCUCGAGAUGUCAUCGGAAACCAUCUGGCUAGAGUCCGGAAGAGGAGAGUGGAAUUCCUGGUGUAGCGGUGAAAUGCGUAGAUAUCUGGAGGAACACCGGUGGCGAAGGCGACAUCCUGGACCGGUAUUGACGCUGAGGCGCGAAAGCCAGGGGAGCAAACGGG